rnacentral:ncRNA from 1 species
GGCUUGGUCCUGACUUUACUAUCAGCUUUAACCCAAUUUAUACAUGCAAGUCUCCGCACCCCUGUGAGAAUGCCCUCAAUCCCCUGCCCGGGGACGAGGAGCAGGCAUCAGGCACAUCCUCUACAGAUCGCGCCCAAGACGCCUUGCUACGCCACUCCCCCAAGGGAACUCAGCAGUAAUAGACAUUAAGCCAUAAGUGUAAACUUGACUUAGUUAGGGUUAUUAGGGCCGGUAAAAUUCGUGCCAGCCACCGCGGUUAUACGAAAGGCCCUAGUUGCUAGCCACGGCGUAAAGGGUGGUUAAGGACAACAACAAAUAAAGCUAAAGAUCCCCUAAGCCGUCAUACGCAUUCCGGGGGCACGAAGCCCUAACACGAAAGUAGCUUUAAAAAAUAUACCUGACCCCACGAAAGCUAAGAAACAAACUGGGAUUAGAUACCCCACUAUGCUUAGCCUUAAACCCAGAUGUAUUCUUACACACACAUCCGCCCGGGUACUACGAGCAUAGCUUAAAACCCAAAGGACUUGGCGGUGUCUCAGACCCACCUAGAGGAGCCUGUUCUAUAACCGAUAACCCCCGUUAAACCUCACCACUUCUUGUUAAUACCGCCUAUAUACCGCCGUCGUCAGCUUACCCUGUGAAGGUCUAACAGUAAGCAAAAUGGGCCCGCCCAAAAACGUCAGGUCGAGGUGUAGCGUACGAAGUGGGAAGAAAUGGGCUACAUUUUCUACAACUAGAAUAUUAAACGAAUGGCAUUAUGAAAAUUAUUGCCUGAAGGUGGAUUUAGUAGUAAAAAGCAAACAGAGUGUCCUUUUGAAUUAGGCUCUGAGACGCGCACACACCGCCCGUCACUCUCCCCUACACAUAACUAUUUCACAUAUAUAAUACACUCCACAUCAAUACGGGGAGGCAAGUCGUAACAUGGUAAGUGUACCGGAAGGUGCACUUGGAACAAUCAGGACGUGGCUGAGAUAGCCAAGCAUCUCCCUUACACCGAGAAGACAUCCAUGCAAAUUGGAUCGCCCUGAGCCAAAAAGCUAGCUUAACCCCCAGAAUACCUAAAACAACAUUAAAAUACUCCAAAAAACCACAAUAUCCCAAAUUAAAACAUUCUACCGCCCUAGUACGUGUGACAGAAAAGGCAAUAAUAAAGCAAUAAAUAAAGUACCGCAAGGGAACGCUGAAAGAGAAAUGAAAUAGAUCAUU